rnacentral:rRNA from 1 species
UACGGAGGGUGCGAGCGUUAAACGGAAUUACUGGGCGUAAAGCGCACGCAGGCGGUUUGUUAAGCUAGAUGUGAAAGCCCCGGGCUCAACCUGGGAUGGUCAUUUAGAACUGGCAGACUAGAGUCUUGGAGAGGGGAGUGGAAUUCCAGGUGUAGCGGUGAAAUGCGUAGAUAUCUGGAGGAACAUCAGUGGCGAAGGCGACUCCCUGGCCAAAGACUGACGCUCAUGUGCGAAAGUGUGGGUAGCGAACAGG